rnacentral:rRNA from 1 species
CAGUAGCCGCGGUAAUACGUAGGGUGCGAGCGCUAAUCAGAAUUACUGGGCGUAAAGCGUGCGCAGGCGGUUCGUUAAGACAGAUGUGAAAUCCCCGGGCUUAACCUGGGAACUGCAUUUGUGACUGGCGAGCUAGAGUAUGGCAGAGGGGGGUAGAAUUCCACGUGUAGCAGUGAAAUGCGUAGAGAUGUGGAGGAAUACCGAUGGCGAAGGCAGCCCCCUGGGCCAAUACUGACGCUCAUGCACGAAAGCGUGGGGAGCAAACAGGAUUAGAUACCCCGGUAGUCCCUGUCUCUUAUAC